rnacentral:misc_RNA from 1 species
UCCGAGUUGACCCCGGCAGUCUCCUAUGAGUCCCCGCCAUCACGCGCUGGCAACAUAGAACGAGGGUUGCGCUCGUUGCGGGACUUAACCCAACAUCUCACGACACGAGCUGACGACAACCAUGCACCACCUGUGAACCGGCCCCGAAGGGAAACCACAUUUCUGCAGCGAUCCGGCCCAUGUCAAGCCUUGGUAAGGUUCUUCGCGUUGCAUCGAAUUAAUCCGCAUGCUCCGCCGCUUGUGCGGGCCCCCGUCAAUUCCUUUGAGUUUUAGCCUUGCGGCCGUACUCCCCAGGCGGGGCACUUAAUGCGUUAGCUGCGGCACAGAGACCGUGGAAUGGCCCCCACACCUAGUGCCCACCGUUUACGGCGUGGACUAC